rnacentral:lncRNA from 1 species
GUUGAGCGUUUUUGUAAUACUAUUAGAUAUUUUUAGGGUCAUUUUGAGUUUUGUUUCAUACUCUUGUUCACCUUUACUAUUUCAAUUCAUUUCUCAGUUUUAUUUUUGUUAAUUAGAACUGUUAAUGUAAUUCUUUGCUUUAGAUUCAAGUAGUUGUAUUCCUAGCUUUGGUUUUUGCAUCUGAGUUCAGUCUAAUAAAGCAAUGUUUUCAUAAAAGAGGGUAGCAAGUCAGUUUUGGCAAAUUUAUUAACCUGGAGAGAUUUUGGGCCAAUUUUUUUCUUUCUAGUGUGAUUUCAUGCAUGUUUGAUUUUCAUUCUGAUUUUGCAUUGAUUNUUUGUAAAAAGCUUGCUCUUGGUGGACUUUAGACAUGAUUUAGGCANUCUUUCUUACCAUCCAUAACCAUUUAGUUUUACCAUUUCAGUUCUGACCAUUGUACCUUAACUUUGAGCCUUAGCCAUUUUCUUUGUUUCCAUUCAUUACAAGCCAUUUUCCCACCAAAUACCUAACCUGUAGAGACAUGUGAGAGGGAUGGAGGAUCUAGGAACUUAGUGAGUGCAACUAGAAAGAUAGGCCAAAAGAAAAAGAAAAAGAAAAAUGAGUUGUUUGUUGUGUGCAAAAGAAAGAACAGGUCUGGAAAAAAAGGAUAAAAAUGCAAAAGAGAGAAAAAUAAAAUGAGACUUGACAGAGUUGAAAACCAGAGAGAAAGAAAAAGAGAUUGGAAUGGCCAAAAAUAUCAAAAACAAUGCACUAAGUUCUAGGAUUUUCC